rnacentral:rRNA from 1 species
UACGUAGGGUGCGAGCGUUGUCCGGAUUUACUGGGCGUAAAGAGUCUGUAGGCGGAUAAGUAGGUUAUUGGUUAAAGGUUCCGGCUCAACCGGAGAAAUGCUGAUAAUACCGCUUAUCUAGUCCUCGAGAGGGGGUGCUGGAACUUACUGUGUAGGGGUGAAAUCCGUUGAUACAGUAAGGAACACCAACGGCGAAGGCGAGCACCUGGAUCGAUGGAGACGCUGAGAGACGAAAGCUAGGGUAGCAAAUCGGAUUAGAGACCCGAGUAGUCCUAGCCCUAAAUGAUGUCCGUUGCCUUUUCGUUUUUAGUUUAUCUGAAAGUGAGAGGGGUAGCUAACGCGUUAAACGGACCGCCUGGGGAGUACGGUCGCAAGGCUGAA